rnacentral:rRNA from 1 species
GACGAACGCUGGCGGUGUGCUUAACACAUGCAAGUCGUGCGACGAACCAGACUUCGGUCUGGGGCAAAGCGGCGAACGGGUGAGUAACACGUGGGUAAUCUGCCCCGAUGACUGGGACAACCCGAGGAAACUCGGGCUAAUACCGGAUGUGGUGCCUGGACUCAAGUCCGGUCACUAAAGGUAGCUUCGGCUUCCGCAUUGGGAGGGGCCCGCGGCCCAUUAGCUUGUUGGUGGGGUCAAGGCCUACCAAGGCAACGAUGGGUAGCUGGUCUGAGAGGACGAUCAGCCACACUGGGACUGAGACACGGCCCAGACUCCUACGGGAGGCAGCAGUGGGGAAUCUUGCGCAAUGCGCGAAAGCGUGACGCAGCAACACCGCGUGAGGGAAGACGGCCUUAGGGUUGUAAACCUCUUUCAGAUGGGACGAAGGUGAUGCGGUGAAUAGCCGAUGUCAUUGACGGUACCGUCAGAAGAAGCUCCGGCUAACUACGUGCCAGCAGCCGG